CAGCCGCCGCGGUAAUACAGAGGAUGCAAGCGUUAUCCGGAAUGAUUGGGCGUAAAGCGUCUGUAGGUGGCUUUUCAAGUCCGCCGUCAAAUCCCAGGGCUCAACCCUGGACAGGCGGUGGAAACUACCAAGCUGGAGUACGGUAGGGGCAGAGGGAAUUUCCGGUGGAGCGGUGAAAUGCGUUGGGAUCGGAAAGAACACCAACGGCGAGAGCACUCUGCUGGGCCGACACUGACACUGAGAGACGAAAGCUAGGGGAGCAAAUGGGAUUAGAUACCCGCGUAGUCCCUGUCUCUUAUAA
rnacentral:rRNA from 1 species